rnacentral:rRNA from 1 species
ACUCCUACGGAGGCAGCAGUAGGGAAUCUUCCACAAUGGACGAAAGUCUGAUGGAGCAAUGCCGCGUGAGUGAAGAAGGGUUUCGGCUCGUAAAACUCUGUUGUUAAAGAAGAACACCUUUGAGAGUAACUGUUCAAGGGUUGACGGUAUUUAACCAGAAAGCCACGGCUAACUACGUGCCAGCAGCCGCGGUAAUACA